rnacentral:rRNA from 1 species
GAUGAACGCUGGCGGCGUGCUUAACACAUGCAAGUCGAACGAAGCACUUUAUUACAAUUUCUUCGGAAUGACGAUUUAGUGACUGAGUGGCGGACGGGUGAGUAACGCGUGGGUAACCUGCCUUAUACAGGGGGAUAACAGUUAGAAAUGACUGCUAAUACCGCAUAAGCGCACAGGAUUGCAUGAUCUGGUGUGAAAAACUCCGGUGGUAUAAGAUGGACCCGCGUCUGAUUAGCUGGUUGGUGAGGUAACGGCCCACCAAGGCGACGAUCAGUAGCCGACCUGAGAGGGUGACCGGCCACAUUGGGACUGAGACACGGCCCAAAACUCCUACGGGAGGCAGCAGUGGGGAAUAUUGCACAAUGGGGGAAACCCUGAUGCAGCGACGCCGCGUGAGCGAAGAAGUAUUUCGGUAUGUAAAGCUCUAUCAGCAGGGAAGAAAAAAUGACGGUACCUGACUAAGAAGCCCCGGCUAACUACGUGCCAGCAGCCGC